GUACUCACUUCAGCAGCACAUACUCAAAUUGAAAUAAUACAGAGAAGAUUGGCAUGACCCCUGGGCAAGGAGGACAUGCAAAUUCAUGAAGCAUUGCAACAAAAA
rnacentral:snRNA from 1 species